rnacentral:lncRNA from 1 species
CUGCUGUGACAAUGGGAAAACCAACAAAAGUCUACACCACAAAAGGGACAGGAAAACAAGAUACACAUGCUAUCAGAGUAAGUAAUGCUUGUGUAUGGAACAAGGCAGUUUUCAGGUGUGAAGACUGCCUUGGGUGUGACAAUUGAAGCAAAGAAUAUGUUCCCUUUCUUGACUAAUUCCCUCCACCAGCUACUAGACCAGAUUAAUGCCCUUCAUCUCACAAAGAGUUUAUGCUUGGAUUCUUCAAAUUGCUUUCUUACCACUCUCAGCAAACAAGGUUUGACCUCUACCAUUUCAUCAAACCAGUCUUGUUAAAGUCCCUGAUAAUCAAUACUGUAAAUGCAAUUACAUUCUUUCAA